GGUCUCUGAUUUCUCUUCAGAUCGCUUAAAUCUUUCACCUUUUACUAGGGAUUCCUGUGGCGAGAAACAAUUCUGAGGCUUAAAUCAGUUUUUGAGGCCUUGUUUUGGCAAGGCU
ensembl:snRNA U5 U5 spliceosomal RNA